GUCAGUGGAGAGUGGGCGAAGGAAUGAGUGAGAAAGCACAUCUGUCAAGACGUCUUGCUCCCCUCAGGGAGCUGGGUCCUACUCACUGCAUUUCUUUCCCUCUUGCCACAGGUCCUCCCCUUGGAGGGGCACAAACGAUCAGUAAGAAUACAGAGCAACGGCCCCAGCCAGGUACCUGCCCGGGAUAUGUAAUCUCUCCUUUGCUUCCUGCACAGUUGUUGAUUUCACAUGGUCAACUGAUGGAGGGUUUAAACAAUAUACCACAUAUGUUUUCUCUUAUUUCUCUCAAAGAGGGUCUAUCUUUGACCCUAAUAGUCCUGUGAAUGAAGUAACAGGUACUGAAAUCAAGUAGAGACUUGUUAAAUAGGAAGGUUAAGAAAAAAUUUGCUGACUGUGGAUCAUAAGUCAGAUGUAGAGAGUUUUAAAGACUGUCCAAUAACAACAAAAUUAUGCAUUAGUCAUCACCUGCCAAAAAUAGUUAUCAUAUUAAUGGUGUGGAUGAGAAAAGAUGGUCUCAAUGGGCUUAAGGACUUUUGAAGGUAAUUUAUGGUUCUAAGUAGAAACCCAAAAAUCAUAUUGAUAUUUUUAAAAUUGCAAUUAUAGUUGAAAAAUAGCAAAAUUGUACGAAAUACAUGACAAUUUUGCCAAGUCGAGACCCAGCUCUCUACCAUGAUUUCCUCAACUAACAAAAAAGGAGAUAAACCUCUCACCUAAACCAAUAUUGCAAAGACUUUUUCAUGGCUGAAUAAACACAUACGUUUUGAGGAAAGUGAGAUUUUAAGAAUAGUCGUUUUAUAGCUAAAAUGUACACUCUGGUUUGUGCUGACAUUUCUGGCUUGUGUGACAUUUCAAAUCACAGAGUGUUAUACUAGAAGAAAACUGAGGAAUCCAGUAGCCCAACCCACUCAUUUGUCAGAUGAGAAAACUGAUUCCCAGAAAUUGUCCAACAAGUUAUUUGUUUAUCACAUAGCUGCUGCUAAAACCCAAGCUGCUUGGUUUCUAGGCAUGUGUUUUUCAUGCUACAUUAAAAAAAAAACAGAUUAAUAAUGUUGUUAGUAUUAGGUAGAGUUAUUAAAGACUGGUAACCAUGAGACCUGCUUUAAGCCCAUGGAGUCAGCUGUCCGUUGUAUCAUUGAAUAUUAUCCAGUUCCU
rnacentral:lncRNA from 1 species